GGCCGGGAGGGAGGAGGGAGAGUCACUGACAGGGCAGCAGUGUGUGCACUGGAGACGUCAGCACUCACCCCCUGCAGUGAAGAGCCUUGCCGGAACCAGGGAGCCAGAGCCAGGAGGUGCAGCAAAGCAUUACAUGGUGGAAAUAUCUCCAAGAAAAAUAACCACUUGAAUAGAGACAUUCCUGUGGCUUGUUGGUGCCCUCAUGUGGCGUAUAAAGAAUGAAGACGUGGACAAGUGGAGAAGCAUUGAGGUUGUCAUGGUUACCAUGAUGUCCGACCACUGACUUCCGGCACCCGGUGUCUCCCUGCAUACUGGUUCCGUUUUGCUGACGUCAUUGUGGAGACGAUGACGCCACGGCAGGUGAUGAUGGUGGGAACGGCCGGGGAACACGGAGUGACCGAGGGGUGGAGAACUCAAUUAUACUGCAGGUAGAGAGCUGUUGACAUCUCCAGGAAUAUUUCUUGCAUUCUUUGAGGCCCAUAUUGAAACCAUGCUGCUCCAACUCUGUGGGACUCUAACUUGUGUUCUAGAAUCUGCUAUCUGGAAAUCUUUAAAAACAGGCUCAGGACUUAUGUUUUCACCAAUGCAUUUGAUUAAUGUGCCAUUACCAGUCAGACAUGUAACAAUGAUCUAUCGAU